CGCAGUAGCCUUCUUUGUGAGACUGCUAGUUAUUUUUUUUAAGAAAACGUUUAUUUUUGCCCUUUGAGCCUUUUCAACAGCUUUCAGUGUUGUGCUCUGCUCCCUGCAUGACUGCAGUGGCAGGAGAGGUGGAAGUCAAGCCCUUGGCUGGUGGUGCUGUGAGCCUUCUCCUCUGCUCCCCUGCAGCCUUGCGUCUCCAUGCAAGCUGUAGCUAUCAUACUUCUGCAGUUCCCAAGGGUGCGCCAUUUACCCACUGAAAAUCCUGGAAGGUUCAGAAAGCCCUAGGUUGCCCCAGUUCAAUCCAGAAGGAAGGGAAUGAUACUGUGUGCAGUCUUUGAAAAGAUCGUAGAGGAACUGGAACGUAAACUGGGAUGACUUAUGAAAAUAAUGCUUUCCCUCAACCCUCCCUGCAUUUCCCCCACCAAAAAUGCUCAGUCCUCAUGAGAAAGCCUCUUCCAUCUCCAUCACCUCCAUUCCCAGCUGUUCCUGAGCCAUAAGUACUUUGCGAGAUUCCUGUACCACUCCUCUCCACCCUGCUUUCUGCUUUUAUCUUAUACCUAAUGCCACUGUGCUUUUCCUUUUCCAUUAACCCAACGGUGUCUCCUGCUCAAGAGAAAUCCCUUCACUGGCUUACUGUCUCCUCCUGGUUCCCAGGUGCUAUGUUACUUCAAUGGUUGCUGCUUCUCCCAGUUCCUCUUAAUUCACAGCCCUUCUCACCUCUGCUCCAGCCCUUCUAGGGUCAGCGCUGUUUCUCGCAUGUGGAAUAAUCCUCCCCUUUUUCUCCAGCGUUUCUCCCUCUGUCCAGUUCAUGCUGUUCCUUUUUUCCCCUCACUUGAGCCUUGAAUUUUUUUGUCAACGGGAGGAUGUAAAGCAUGAUGACAUUAGGGAGUGACAGUGUAUAUCCCCUCUAACUGCCGAAUGUGAGAACUGUCAUCUGCCAGCGCACCUAUGAAAACCAAACGUGCAGUGUGGUCAGCUGUUCCGCGAUCUCAGGUGAAAUCGAGCGCACUGAUACAGAGUGCGGUGAGGGCCAAAGCGCAGCAGAGCUGAGCUGCAGCUGUGAAAGCAAAGGAAGGCUGUGGGAAGCUGGAACAUCUGCUUCCUUCACUUGUUUGUACGUAGCUGAGUCCUCACUCCUCUGUCAAGAAAGUUUGCAAAUCCAAACAACCGCACUGAGACGGAGACUUGGAGAAGAUGAAUCCCCUUUGAUCUUUCUGGCAAAAUGGCUGCAGCCCCACCCCCACCCUUUUGAAGAUUUGUUUUGUUUUCUUUCUAAAGGGAUUUAUGGGCAUUUAAUAACCUAGAGAUUUGCCUUAGUCAGGAUUCAGCCCAUUGCAUUAAUUUCAACAUUUUUUUUAAUAACCAGAAGCUUGGCAUAGUCUGUCUCCUGCCUGUCCCAGAGCAGUUUGCUGCUGAAGACAAAGCACAAGCGCACGUAUAAGCACACACGGCACGUGCCCGAAGCCAAACUCCUCCUUUUUUUUGCUGAUACUGUGGAAGUACACGGAGGUGUAGAAGUACUGUGGAAGUACGUGGAGAAGGCUGCCCAGAUCCUGCCUUUGCAAACCCCAGAAGAGUCCUGCACACCGAGCGCUGCAGUUCCUCACACCGGCUCCCUGGCGCACAUGUGCCACAGGAUGUGUCCCUACUCAGAGCGGGUCUCUCUCCACCCUCGGGCUCAGCACGAGUCUGCUUGGCUGGCCUCUGAUUUCCAUGAAGCUCUUGUGAGCCCCACGACAUGCAGGCAGUCAUGUCGAUGUUCUCUCCCUGUGUCACGUGCGGCUGAAGUCAGCAGCAACUUCUCAAGUCCACGUGCAGAAGGAAAAGCAGCAGAACAAAUGCAGCAAACAAGCCUCAUCUCCACGCAGGGCAGACUAGGAACCCCCAGUUUGGGGCUGGGCAGGGAGGGCUUGGCUGCUCCAGGGUGCGAGUAGUGACUUAGAAAAUGCUAGUAACUGAAUCCCUUUAAAAAUUAGCUUUGUAGGAACGGUAGUUUCUCCUUCGGCUUUUCUCCUUCGGCUCGCAAGUUUGUGGUCUCUGUACACUGGCUUUUUCUCUCGUGCUGCUCAAUGCAGAGAAUGUUCUGUUAUUUGAAGUUACAGAACUUGCAAUAACCUGAUGAAACUA